UCAUCACGACACAUUGUUUCGUCAUUUCCCUCUGGAGCUUCCGACUUUGUCUUGGAGCAAAGCAUUCCUUUUUUCGGAGAAUUGAGAAAAAAGCUGAUUUGCACAAGACUUAUCUCUUUGAAA
ensembl:ncRNA R07D5.9 ncRNA